rnacentral:rRNA from 1 species
UACGGAAGGCAGCAGUGGGGAAUAUUGCACAAUGGGCGAAAGCCUGAUGCAGCUAUGCCGCGUGUAUGAAGAAGGCCUUAGGGUUGUAAAGUACUUUCAUCGGGGAGGAAAAAACAAAACUAAUAAUUUUAUUUCUUGACGUUACCCGAAAAAGAAGCACCGGCUAACUCCGUGCCAGCAGCCGCGGUAAUACGGAGGGUGCUAGCGUUAAUCAGAAUUACUGGGCGUAAAGAGCACGUAGGUGGUUUUUUUAAGUCAGAUGUGAAAUCCCUGGGCUUAACCUAGGAACUGCAUUUUGAAACUGAAAUACUAGAGUAUCGUAGAGGGAGGUAGAAUUCUAGGUGUAGCGGUGAAAUGCGUAGAUAUCUGGAGGAAUACCUGUGGCGAAAGCGGCCUCCUAAACGAAUACUGACACUGAGGUGCGAAAGCGUUGGGGAGCGAAACAGGGAUUUAGAUACC